UGUGGGACUAGAUUGAGGAAGAACGUUCUGGGGUGGAUAAGAACUGGGUAUUUUUAGUGUGAAUCUAUCACCAUCUAUGGCAAAUACAAAUCCCAGUAUUACAGAAAUAUACCAUCAAGAGGGUUCUCUGGAAAUGGGAUGAGGCAGCAGAAGGAAGGAAAAGCAAGACUUGACAACCAAGAGUACAACAGAUGAAACUAUACCAUAGAUGUCAUUGGAUUUAAGCAUUUUCCCCAUUGGUGUGCUAAGUAAUACAAAGAUCAACUACUAUGAAAAGAAAAUAAGUGCAGAAGCAUAUGUCAGUGUAUAGAUGAUGAAGAAGGCAAAAUGACAUUUAUCUUUCAGAUUGAAGAAGGGGAGAGGGAGAUGAUGGUGUAAAGAAUUCAGGAUUCAUCAGCUCAGGGAACUUACAACAAACCUAACUUGAGCAAAGGAUUGCAUCUUGAACUACUAAUUCGAGGCAAUGAGCUGAUGACAAGCCACAUAUGGAUUAAAAUCAUGACAUGAAUCUACAAGUUCCUGAAUGUCAAAUACAUAUAAUACCUACAGACAAUGAAUACCCUUUUGGUCAAUCCAAGGUAAUAACUGUAAAGUCUUCACAUAUAUUUGGAAGACAAUUGUGAAUAACACAAAUGAAUCCUUUAAAAUAGCUGAGUCUUGAGAUUAUAUAAUAAGAAUUGGAUGUAAAGCUUCUCCAUAAAAGAGACUUCCAUUUGUUUCCUCCUCUAAAUAAUUUCCUCCACCAGUAAGUUGUAUUGUUAUGAAAUGUUGUCUAUGCACAGCUACAAAAGAUCUACAGAGACAGGAAAGAUUAGAAAGUAAUCUAUUCAUGGCGUGCAUAGAGGACAUUUUCUAAAAUUGCAAGAUGAAUUAAGUGUGGCAAUAAUGGCUGACACAGAGCAGAGGGAUCAGGAAUGUCAAAAGUCAGGGUUGCAUAGCAUAUGAAGGGGACGUUUGUUUAUCAAAAAUAUGUCAAAAAUCAGGGUUGUACAGCAUAUUAAAGAGACAUUUGUUUAACAAAAAUAUGGUCUUAAGAGGUUAUUGUUGCUACUAUUUUCAGUGUAAAUGCAUAAUGAAUUUAUAUUAAUGAGCAGAAAUGCUAGCCAGAUCUGAUAUGACAGAAAUGCACUCCGAUUUGACAAGUGAAGUAACAUCUGGGAGCACAUGCGCCUACUUGGAGGAUGGGGAAUCAGCAGUGAUCAAGAUGCAGCCGCAUGGGAUGCCAUUCAACAUCUUAUCAGAUGGACCAAAGAUCCUCUCACUUCCUUUUUUUCUUGCACUUAAAGACUAUAAACUAAACUGAUCUAAACUGUGGCAUAAUCUGACACAAAUCCAUCCCACUUCCCUUUUUCUCCCAUGUUGAGUGUUCAGAAUCAGACACAUACAUGAGUGUUGCUUGUGCAAUACCCCAGCCAGAUCCAACAGGCAGCCAUGGCUACAUAACUCCAUCAGAUAGCCAGUAGUAACACACAUUGCCCUGAAAGGAGAAAAAGCUGAGAGCUGGUUUUAGCUGAAUGGUGAGACUGUGGUAUAUCUGAGAGAGGAUGCAAGAAUAGUUGGAUGGGGACAUUUAAUUUAAGGAUUCAUUCACAGUUCCUAACUUGAAGAUGAGGUGAUACAAAACCCCUCAUAAAGACAUAGCAGAGGGCAUCGAGUUCUUCAGGUUUCACAACAUCCGUCUUUAGCUAGAGCUCCUAAGUAGUUUGGGGUUUUUUUAAUUUUAUGCCAGAGGGGUGUUUUUUAUUUAAAGAAAUUUUGGUUGGAAGCAAGUUUCAUUUGGUUUUUAAAACUCUAUUAUUUUAAGGGUUUUUUAACUCUACUAUUUUAUUUCCCCUUUUAAUGUCUUUUAUGCAUUUUUAUGACUUUUAAACAUAGUAAUUGUAUUAUUAUUAUUAUAUGCAUUUACAUUUUUAGUAUUUUAGUACUUUUAGCUCUUUUAGCAUUUGCAUUUUUAACACUCUCAUACAUUAUAAGUACUAUUAGUUCUUUUAAUGUUAAUAUACAUCAUCACAUAUGUAA